AACGAACGCUGGCGGCAUGCCUAACACAUGCAAGUCGAACGAGACCUUCGGGUCUAGUGGCGCACGGGUGCGUAACGCGUGGGAACCUGCCCUUAGGUUCGGAAUAACUCCCCGAAAGGGGUGCUAAUACCGGAUAAUGUCUUCGGCCCAAAGAUUUAUCGCCUUUGGAUGUGCCCGCGUUGGAUUAGCUAGUUGUUAGGGUAAAAGCCUACCACGGCGACGAUCCAUAGCUGGUCUGAGAGGAUGAUCAGCCACACUGGGACGGAGACACGGCCCAGACUCCUACGGGAGGCAGCAGUGGGGAAUAUUGGACAAUGGGCGAAAGCCUGAUCCAGCAAUGCCGCGUGAGUGAUGAAGGCCUUAGGGUUGUAAAGCUCUUUUAACCGGGAUGAUAAUGACAGUACCGGGAGAAUAAGCUACGGCUAACUCCGUG
rnacentral:rRNA from 1 species